rnacentral:tRNA from 1 species
AGAAAGAUAAGCUAAGCAAGCUAACGGGCUCAUACCCCGCAUAUGAAGGUUACAUAUUACUCCUUCUCUUUCUA